rnacentral:rRNA from 1 species
AGAGUUUGAUUAUGGCUCAGGACGAACGCUGGCGGCACGCCUAACACAUGCAAGUCGAACGGAGAUAAAGACUUCGGUUUUUAUCUUAGUGGCGGACGGGUGAGUAACACGUGAGCAACCUGCCUCUGAGAGAGGGAUAGCUUCUGGAAACGGAUGGUAAUACCUCAUAACAUAGCGGUACCGCAUGAUACUGCUAUCAAAGAUUUAUCGCUCAGAGAUGGGCUCGCGUCUGAUUAGCUAGAUGGUGAGGUAACGGCUCACCAUGGCGACGAUCAGUAGCCGGACUGAGAGGUUGAACGGCCACAUUGGGACUGAGACACGGCCCAG